UACGUAGGUGGCAAGCGUUGUCCGGAUUUAUUGGUUUGAAAGGGUGCGUAGGUGGUCUAUUAAGUCAGUGCUGAAAUAUCCCGGCUUAAACCGGGAGGGUGGCAUUGAUACUGAUGGACUUGAGUGGAGUUGAGGUAGGCGGAAUUGACGGUGUAGCGGUGAAAUGCUUAGAUAUCGUCAAGAACACCAAUAGCGAAGGCAGCUUACUAAGCUCUAACUGACACUGAUGCACGAAAGUGUGGGGAGGCAAACAGG
rnacentral:rRNA from 1 species